UCUUCUUCUUCUUCUUCAGCUUCUACAUCUAAUGUAAUAAGUGCAUCUGCUCUUAGAGCUAGAAAGGGCUCUUAGGCAGUUACCAUAUAACCUUUCAUUACAGAAUGGUUGUGGUCGCAGAGCACGGUAAGAAUAAUACCUCGGGUCACCUACAAGAAGUGUUUGAAUCUCUUUUUCUUUAAUGGAUUCAUCAGCUAUGCGCUCACGGCCAUUGCAUGAAAUGUUUCUGACAGCGUCAAGAAGGGCCGCCCUGCUUGUUGAUAUGCCUGUGCUGCAGAAUACAACCAGCAGAAUAGCUAGACACAGUGUGACGCGUCCUCUCUUCGAUGCAGUUGCCAUUUUGUUCUCCUCCUACUUUCUUUGCUCUCAGUUUCUUUGUCUGCGUGGGGUUUGUGAGUAACCAAAUAUCGGAAAAGGCAAGAAUAUGAAAUUUGCUUCAACAAAAUGUUAAACUUAACAGGACUGACACGAGGCAUUAAUAUAGUAGGUGUUAGUCAUGUCGGUUUGGUUUUUUGACUCAUUUCAAAUUGAUUCGGUUUUUGAUCCAUUUUGGGCAACUGAUCAAUGAAAAAUAGUAGAUUAAUAAUAACAAUAAUAAGAACUUGCUUUAAAUUUAGUUAAUUGAAAAAUGGUGUAGAGGUUGGCACUAGAAAG
rnacentral:misc_RNA from 1 species